rnacentral:rRNA from 1 species
CGGCAUUGGACGCAGUCUGACCGAGCAACGCCGCGUGAGUGAAGAAGGAUUUCGGAUCGUAUGGCUCUGUUGUCAGCAAAGAACAGGGAAAAGAGGAACUGCUUUUUCCAUGACGGUAUCUGACCAGAAAGCCACGGCUAACUACGUGCCAGCAGCCGCG